AUACUAUUCUCAAGUAACACGGUACACGUGAAAUUCCGUGUGAAACUGCCAGGACCAUCUGGUAAGGCUAAAUACUCCCAUGUGACCGAUAGUGAACUAGUACCGUGAGGGAAAGGUGAAAAGUACUCCUAACGGAGAGUGAAAUAGAACCUGAAACUGUAUGCCUACAAGCGGUCGGAGUCCCGAUUUAUCGGGAUGACGGCGUGCCUUUUGCAUAAUGAGCCAGCGAGUUGCUCGUAUGUCGCAAGGUUAAGGUCUUAAAACCGGAGCCGUAGCGAAAGCAAGUCUGAAUAGGGCGAUUAAGUGACAUGCGGCAGACCCGAAGCCGAGUGAUCUAGCCAUGGCCAGGUUGAAGCGACAGUAACAUGUCGUGGAGGACCGAACCCACCAGGGUUGAAAACCUGGGGGAUGAGCUGUGGUUAGGGGUGAAAGGCCAAUCAAACUCGGCGAUAUCUGGUUCUCCCCGAAAUGCCUUUAGGGGCAGCGUUACGGUAGUAUCUUGGGGGUAGAGCACUGGAUGGACUAGGGGCCCUACAAGGUUACCAAACCCAACCAAACUCCGAAUACCAAGAUUAUGAUCCGUGGCAGUGAGGCCGUGGGGGAUAAGCUUCAUGGCCGAAAGGGAAACAACCCAGACCAACAGCUAAGGUCCCCAAAUCCGGGUUAAGUGACAAAGGAUGUGGGAUUGCUUAAACAGCUAGGAGGUUGGCUUAGAGGCAGCCAUCCUUUAAAGAAAGCGUAACAGCUCACUAGUCAAGGAAUCCUGCGCCGAUAAUCUCCGGGACUGAUAAACCCGGUACCGAAGCUAUGGUCUUUCCGAUUUAUCGGGAAGAGGUAGGGGAGCGUUCCAUUAACCUGUGAAGCCUUUGCCGGAAGGCGGGGUGGAGGAGAUGGAAGUGAGUAUGCUGGCAUAAGUAGCGAUAAACUCGAUGAAAUUUCGAGUCACCGAAAGCCUAAGGUUUCCUGAGUAAAGUAAAUCUGCUCAGGGUUAGUCGGACCCUAAGCCGAGGCCGAAAGGCGUAGGCGAUGGAUAACAGGUGAAUAUUCCUGUACUACCCUGUUGUUGUCUGAGUGAUGGGGGGACGCAGAAGUGAAAGGUCAGCCCGGUUUUGAUUGUCCGGGUUUAAGUGAGUAGGGGGUUCUGGUAGGCAAAUCCGCCGGAACUUAACCCCGAGACACGAAUAGGAGGGCCUAGCCCAUAAACUGACCCUAAUCAUGCUGCCAAGAAAAUCCUCUAAACAAGAUGACAGGGUAACCGUACCUCAAACCGACACAGGUAGGCGAGAUGAGUAUUCUAAGGUGCUUGGGUGAAUUCCAGUUAAGGAACUCGGCAAAUUGACCCCGUAACUUCGGGAGAAGGGGUGCCUCGAUUAGAUGAAAUCUCCUUCGGGCAGAUGGAGUCGAAAGAGGCCGCAGUGAAAUGGCUCGGGCGACUGUUUACUAAAAACACAGGUCUCUGCUAAGUCGUAAGACGAAAUAUAGGGACUGACACCUGCCCGGUGCCGGAAGGUUAAGGGAACGUGUUAUCCCGCUUCGGCGGGAGAAGCUCAGAACCGAAGCCCCGGUAAACGGCGGCCGUAACUAUAACGGUCCUAAGGUAGCGAAAUUCCUUGUCGGGUAAGUUCCGACCCGCACGAAUGGUGUAACGACUUGAGCGCUGUCUCUACUGGAAACCCAGCGAAAUUGUAGCGUCGGUGAAGAUACCGGCUACCCGCGGCAGGACGAAAAGACCCCGUGAACCUUUACUACAGCUUGACAUUGGGUUUUGGUUCUAUAUGUGUAGGAUAGGUGGGAGGCUAUGAAGUUUCAGCGCUAGUUGGAAUGGAGCCAU
rnacentral:rRNA from 1 species